CCCUUAAUUAAACUUGGUGACAAAGUAUUUAAGCGUGUACCACAUAAAAAGACACUUGGUGUCAUCUUAGAUGAACAACUUAAGUGGGACAAACAUAAUGAGGAACAAAGUAAAACAAUCUCAAAGAACAUUGCUCUGUUAAGAAGAGCUAAGUCUUUCGUUCCCAGACAUGUUCUGGAGAAAAUGUAUAACGCUUUUAUAAUUCCUAAUUUUUACUAUUGUUCGACUGUGUGGUAUGACGGAAGUAAAAACAAAUUAACUAAAAUGUCUAAACUUCAAAAGAAAGCGGCACGCGUAAUUACCGGUGAUUCCUAUGAUUUUCGAUCUAACGAAGUAUUUCAAAAACUUAACUGGUUACCAAUGAGCACAUAUUUACAAACUCGAGAGAACAUAGCUACUUUCAAGGCAUUAAUCGGAAAUUCGCCUCCAUAUCUUACUAAAUUAUUUAAUCGUUGCUCGAAUGAAACAUAUAAUUUGAGAAGUAAUUUUGACCAACUGUCAUUAGCAAAACCUAGCACAAAUUUUCUUAAGAAAAGCUUUUCCUAUAGAGCGGCAAAAUCGUGGAACAACCUUCCCUUAACUUUAACGCAAAACAUCGGUAAUAAAACAGCGAAUGUAUUAAAGACAUUGCUCAUCAAUCACUAUGGUAACGACUAUAGUGAUUGACGAGUACCCCGUGUACGUGUACUUUAUAUGCUG